rnacentral:lncRNA from 1 species
CCACUUUGGGUCUUCUGUACGCAACCUUUCCCUACAUUUCUGCAAGAGUCUAUUUCAAGGACUCGAACCCAUGACUUCAUGGUUGUCACAAGGCAACAGCUUUACCGCUGUGCUAAGGCUCCCCUUCCACGGUUUAUCUACAAAGUAACCAAAAAAUUAUCUCUACUAUUAAAGGGGAGUUGGUAGGUCUGCCUCGCUUCUUACCUCGGUUUUUCAUCCCCUCAUCCCCAUCCCCGCUUGGUUUUUUGCAGAUUUUGUCGAUAAUCUCAACCGAUGCCACACAAACAAAAAACCAACGUAUAUAGAGUUCAACAACAACAACAAAGCCUUUAGUCCCAAACAAGUUGGGUAGGCUAGAGCUGAAACCAUAACAUCUUGCAACCA